CUUGGCAGCGGUGGGCUUGUCCUAAUCGACAGACUGGUUACAAUACUUCAUAAUUUGAAAAUCCACGAACAUUCGCGAUGUGACAAAUUUCGAAAUCAUAUAAAUAGAUCGAUUUCAGCACGGAUGCGCAGUUAUAAAUUUGAUUUUGAAUCAUAAACAUCACGAUUUAACACUUCGGAAGGCAGUGGUACCAUUACUAAGAGAAAUGAUUUCAAGAAAAGCAAUAUAUCUAUUCCUGUGCUCCACAGUGUUCAUUCAGCACCAAAGCUGCUCUCCAGUACCGACAAAUCGGAAAAUUCGAAACGAUGUACGCCGGAAAUCUGUAGAUCAAUCUGAUGAUGGACUUCUCACGUCUACUGACUCUACAAAACCAACGACGACAUCUGAUAGCCAUCGUUCAUCGUCUGAGAAUUCGUUGUCUGAACAAACAACAUUACCGACAAAAUCAUCGACAGUUGUACCCGAGUACGAUUACGAUACAAAAAUCGUUAAACUUGGAGAAAUUUUCAAAUCCUCAGAAGAUGAACAUGCAAAAGUUAAACGUGAUACCUCGCCCAAAAAUUUAGUGGAUCCAGGACGGCUUGCUUUCAAAUCGGAGUCCGGAGGUGUAGAUGACCUUGAGGUAGCUGAGACGCAUCUUUUUAGGCCUUUAUUCAAGUAUCAGUCAUUAAAUGCGCAACGGCAGCACAUAAGGCGGCAGUCUUCAAGCACUACCACCCAAAGAACAUAACGGUACGAGUAUUUUAUCUUUAGAUUUAGGCGAAUAAAUGUUAUUUUUAUAAACAAA